GGUUAAGCGACUAAGCGUACACGGUGGAUGCCCUGGCAGUCAGAGGCGAUGAAGGACGUGCUAAUCUGCGAUAAGCGUCGGUAAGGUGAUAUGAACCGUUAUAACCGGCGAUUUCCGAAUGGGGAAACCCAGUGUGAUUCGUCACACUAUCAUUACGUGAAUACAUAGCGUAAUGAAGCGAACCGGGGGAACUGAAACAUCUAAGUACCCCGAGGAAAAGAAAUCAACCGAGAUUCCCCCAGUAGCGGCGAGCGAACGGGGAGCAGCCCAGAGUCUGAAUCAGCUUGUGUGUUAGUGGAACGGUCUGGAAAGUCCGACGGUACAGGGUGAUAGUCCCGUACACCAAAAUGCACAGGUUGUGAACUCGAAGAGUAGGGCGGGACACGUGGUAUCCUGUCUGAAUAUGGGGGGACCAUCCUCCAAGGCUAAAUACUCCUGACUGACCGAUAGUGAACCAGUACCGUGAGGGAAAGGCGAAAAGAACCCCGGCGAGGGGAGUGAAAAAGAACCUGAAACCGUGUACGUACAAGCAGUGGGAGCCUCUUUAUGGGGUGACUGCGUACCUUUUGUAUAAUGGGUCAGCGACUUAUAUUCUGUAGCAAGGUUAACCGUAUAGGGGAGCCGAAGGGAAACCGAGUCUUAACUGGGCGUUAAGUUGCAGGGUAUAGACCCGAAACCCGGUGAUCUAGCCAUGGGCAGGUUGAAGGUUGGGUAACACUAACUGGAGGACCGAACCGACUAAUGUUGAAAAAUUAGCGGAUGACUUGUGGCUGGGGGUGAAAGGCCAAUCAAACCGGGAGAUAGCUGGUUCUCCCCGAAAGCUAUUUAGGUAGCGCCUCGUGAACUCAUCUUCGGGGGUAGAGCACUGUUUCGGCUAGGGGGUCAUCCCGACUUACCAACCCGAUGCAAACUGCGAAUACCGAAGAAUGUUAUCACGGGAGACACACGGCGGGUGCUAACGUCCGUCGUGAAGAGGGAAACAACCCAGACCGCCAGCUAAGGUCCCAAAGUCAUGGUUAAGUGGGAAACGAUGUGGGAAGGCACAGACAGCCAGGAUGUUGGCUUAGAAGCAGCCAUCAUUUAAAGAAAGCGUAAUAGCUCACUGGUCGAGUCGGCCUGCGCGGAAGAUGUAACGGGGCUAAACCAUGCACCGAAGCUGCGGCAGCGACACUAUGUGUUGUUGGGUAGGGGAGCGUUCUGUAAGCCUGCGAAGGUGGCCUGUGAGGGUUGCUGGAGGUAUCAGAAGUGCGAAUGCUGACAUAAGUAACGAUAAAGCGGGUGAAAAGCCCGCUCGCCGGAAGACCAAGGGUUCCUGUCCAACGUUAAUCGGGGCAGGGUGAGUCGACCCCUAAGGCGAGGCCGAAAGGCGUAGUCGAUGGGAAACAGGUUAAUAUUCCUGUACUUGGUGUUACUGCGAAGGGGGGACGGAGAAGGCUAUGUUAGCCGGGCGACGGUUGUCCCGGUUUAAGCAUGUAGGCGGAGGUUCCAGGUAAAUCCGGUACCUUUUAACGCUGAGGUGUGAUGACGAGGCACUACGGUGCUGAAGUAACAAAUGCCCUGCUUCCAGGAAAAGCCUCUAAGCAUCAGGUAACAUUAAAUCGUACCCCAAACCGACACAGGUGGUCAGGUAGAGAAUACCAAGGCGCUUGAGAGAACUCGGGUGAAGGAACUAGGCAAAAUGGUGCCGUAACUUCGGGAGAAGGCACGCUGGUGUGUAGGUGAAGUCCCUGCGGAUGGAGCUGAGACCAGUCGAAGAUACCAGCUGGCUGCAACUGUUUAUUAAAAACACAGCACUGUGCAAACACGAAAGUGGACGUAUACGGUGUGACGCCUGCCCGGUGCCGGAAGGUUAAUUGAUGGGGUUAUCCGUAAGGAGAAGCUCUUGAUCGAAGCCCCGGUAAACGGCGGCCGUAACUAUAACGGUCCUAAGGUAGCGAAAUUCCUUGUCGGGUAAGUUCCGACCUGCACGAAUGGCGUAAUGAUGGCCAGGCUGUCUCCACCCGAGACUCAGUGAAAUUGAACUCGCUGUGAAGAUGCAGUGUACCCGCGGCAAGACGGAAAGACCCCGUGAACCUUUACUAUAGCUUGACACUGAACACUGGUCCUUGAUGUGUAGGAUAGGUGGGAGGCUUUGAAGUGUGGACGCCAGUCUGCAUGGAGCCAUCCUUGAAAUACCACCCUUUAAUGGCUGGUGUUCUAACGUGGACCCGUAAUCCGGGUUGCGGACAGUGUCUGGUGGGUAGUUUGACUGGGGCGGUCUCCUCCUAAAGAGUAACGGAGGAGCACGAAGGUUAGCUAAUCCUGGUCGGACAUCAGGAGGUUAGUGCAAAGGCAUAAGCUAGCUUGACUGCGAGAGUGACGGCUCGAGCAGGUGCGAAAGCAGGUCUUAGUGAUCCGGUGGUUCUGAAUGGAAGGGCCAUCGCUCAACGGAUAAAAGGUACUCCGGGGAUAACAGGCUGAUACCGCCCAAGAGUUCAUAUCGACGGCGGUGUUUGGCACCUCGAUGUCGGCUCAUCACAUCCUGGGGCUGAAGUAGGUCCCAAGGGUAUGGCUGUUCGCCAUUUAAAGUGGUACGCGAGCUGGGUUUAGAACGUCGUGAGACAGUUCGGUCCCUAUCUGCCGUGGGCGCUGGAGAAUUGAGGGGGGCUGCUCCUAGUACGAGAGGACCGGAGUGGACGCAUCACUGGUGUUCGGGUUGUCAUGCCAAUGGCAUUGCCCGGUAGCUAAAUGCGGAAGAGAUAAGUGCUGAAAGCAUCUAAGCACGAAACUUGCCCCGAGAUGAGUUCUCCCUGAGACUAUAAGUCUCCUGAAGGAACGUUAAAGACGAUGACGUUGAUAGGUCGGGUGUGUAAGUGUAGCGAUACAUUGAGCUAACCGAUACUAAUGAACCGUGAGGCUUAACCUU
rnacentral:rRNA from 1 species